AUUGAACGCUGGCGGCAUGUUUUACACAUGCAAGUCGAACGGCAGCACGGGUGCUUGCACCUGGUGGCGGGUGGCGAACGGGUGAGUAAUGCAUCGGAACGUAUCCAAGAGUGGGGGAUAACGCAUCGAAAGGCGUGUUAAUACCGCAUACGCCCUGAGGGGGAAAGUGGGGGACCGUAAGGCCUCACGCUGAUGGAGCGGCCGAUGUCAGAUUAGCUAGUUGGUGAGGUAAAGGCUCACCAAGGCGACGAUCUGUAGCUGGUCUGAGAGGACGACCAGCCACACUGGGACUGGGACACGGCCCAGACUCCUACGGGAGGCAGCAGUGGGGAAUUUUGGACAAUGGGCGAAAGCCUGAUCCAGCAAUGCCGCGUGCAGGAAGAAGGCCUUCGGGUUGUAAACUGCUUUUGUACGGAGCGAAAAGGUCCCCUCUAAUACAGGGGGCUCAUGACGGUACCGUAAGAAUAAGCACCGGCUAACUACGUGCCAGCCGCCGCGGUAAGAC
rnacentral:rRNA from 1 species